rnacentral:rRNA from 1 species
AGAGUUUGAUCCUGGCUCAGGAUGAACGCUGACAGAAUGCUUAACACAUGCAAGUCAACUUGAAUUUGGGUUUUUAACUUAGGUUUGGGUGGCGGACGGGUGAGUAACGCGUAAAGAACUUGCCUCACAGUUAGGGACAACAUUUGGAAACGAAUGCUAAUACCUGAUAUUAUGAUAAUAGGGCAUCCCAUAAUUAUGAAAGCUAUAAGCGCUGUGAGAGAGCUUUGCGUCCCAUUAGCUAGUUGGAGAGGUAACGGCUCACCAAGGCGAUGAUGGGUAGCCGGCCUGAGAGGGUGAUCGGCCACAAGGGGACUGAGACACGGCCCUUACUCCUACGGGAGGCAGCAGUGGGGAAUAUUGGACAAUGGACCAAGAGUCUGAUCCAGCAAUUCUGUGUGCACGAUGAAGUUUUUCGGAA